rnacentral:lncRNA from 1 species
CACCAGAGAGGAGUAAGCCAGCACGAUGGAUGUCACAGAGGAAAAUAUGACACCAAAGGAGAUGCGUGAGAAAAUAGUAGAGCUGGAGCACGGUCUAAACCAGCAGAGGGACCUAAAUGCUAAAAUCAACAACUGGCUGGAUGUUGCAGAUGAUGAUAUAGCAAUGCUGCGCACAGAGAACGGCCUCCUCAGCAAACAAGUGAAAGCCCUGGAGAAGAGCAACAGUGGCACACAGCAGAUUGAAGCAGAGCCUUGCAGGUCCCUCCUGGCUGAUAACCUCAAUGCAAAGAGGUGUAGUGAAAACAAGAUUCAGAAAUUGGAGAAGGAAUCCACCGUGGUGAAAGAACACAAUAAGACGCUAACUGAAGAGCUCAAGAGCCUCCAGCAAGAGAGAGACCGGGACAAGAUUAGCUUGAAGAAGAACAGGGUUGCACUUCAAACCAUGGAGAAAAACUUGCAGUCAAAGCAGUCGGAGAAAACUGAAGAAGAGUACUCCAACAUCAUAGAGGUAAAGACGUUCUCAUCCAUUGCUAUAAAGUCUUCAUGUAUUAAGCUGUUCAAGGGUGUUUUGUUGUCUGAUCAUUUUUCUCUGCUCCAGUAUCUCAGGCUGACAAAUUGGGAACUGAGAGAGCAGUUGGAGGACAGACAGGAUGAGGCCUCAUUCGCUAUGGUGAAUGACCUGAUGGGAAAAAAUGAAGGAAUGCCCAGUCCCUGUCUGUCCUUUGCAGAGGAACUGAAGCUGCUGGCCUCUUCAGCUGAAAUGAAAACCAUCAUGUCAGACUCCACAGAUCUUAGACAUGAGGAAUCUGAGGCUGAGGAGCCACUGAAUCCUCAGAGUCUCACAGUAGACCGUCAGACCAAAAGGUGUGCAGGUACCUUGGAGACAGCCAUCCAGAGAGCAGGACUAUUUCUUCUGUCGGUCUUCAUUCUCACUGUUUUGGCCUUUGUGACUUCAGGAAGCUGUACAGGAAACUUUUUUUCCAUCAACACCUUGUGGAGCGGUGCACGCCUGAUGUUACAGCCCUACUGCAGUGUGCAUUAUGGGGCCUUACCUCCUAUUUGAUCUAAAAACUCCAUCUUAUAAACAUGUUGUCUUCAUUUAUCUGGCUGACUGUGUUUCUUUUUGUAGCUGAUUUACUCAGCAGAUCACAAGGCUAAAGGGUUUAUUUUAAUAUUUCUCAAAAGAUACAUGACAUUUGCAGUGGAAUAUAAAUGAUGUUGCAUGUUUAUUAGGCGCUUGUGUAGCUGUUUUGUUAGUUCUGUAACAAUGAGUCGAAAAGAAAACAUUCAAUAACCUGAAACAAACGAGCCAAAAUGUCUGCAGUGAAAAAGGCCUUUUUCAUUCUGAACAAUCUGCAGGUAGAAAGCAGAUUUUAUUUCUUUCUUUAAAUACUAAAAAUGAUAUCAAUAAAAGUCGAAUUGGAAGAACAGAUAUCUAUAAACA